rnacentral:rRNA from 1 species
CUACGGGCUGCAGCAGUAGGGAAUCUUCGGCAAUGGACGGAAGUCUGACCGAGCAACGCCGCGUGAGUGAAGAAGGUUUUCGGAUCGUAAAGCUCUGUCGUAAGAGAAGAACGAGUGUGAGAGUGGAAAGUUCACACUGUGACGGUAUCUUACCAGAAAGGGACGGCUAACUACGGUGCCAGCAGCCGCGGUAAUACGUAGGUCCCGAGCGUUGUCCGGAUUUAUUGGGCGUAAAGCGAGCGCAGGCGGUUAGAUAAGUCUGAAGUUAAAAGCUGUGGCUUAACCAUGGUACGCUUUGGAAACUGUUUAACUUGAGUGCAGAAGGGGAGAGUGGAAUUCCAUGUGUAGCGGUGAAAUGCGUAGAUAUAUGGAGGAACACCGGUGGCGAAAGCGGCUCUCUGGUCUGUAACUGACGCUGAGGCUCGAAAGCGUGGGGAGCAAACAGGAUUAGAUACCCCAGUAGUC